rnacentral:lncRNA from 1 species
AUUGAAUAAUCAAAAUAUGUAAGAUUGAUCAUUUACACCCCUUUUGUUUAUCUUGGUGAAAGUUCUGCACUAAUUGUAUCAGAGCCUGUUUUUCAAAUUUUGAAAUAACAAAUGGUAUAUCGGCGAGAAAUCAAUGGCAAAUAUUUUGAUAGUUAACCUGAAUGGGAACUCUAUCAAUUUGUACUAUCAAUAUAACAAGCCACAUAGUAGAUUAUUUCAAAAUAAGAAAUAAAGAUGGAUAGAAUGAGACAUAUAUUAGUACACAAUGCAAGAUAUGGUCUAAUGUUAGAUUACAAUGCUAUAAUGAAUAAUCUAACUAUACUUUUAUAGCAUUAUUCAAUAUAAAGAUCUGAUUUGGAUAUUAAACAAUUAGUACAACUAUAUCUAUCACAGGUAGAGAUGGCCAAUAGGCCAGGUAGGUAGAAGGUCUAUGCGUGCUUGUGCUAGUAUUGUUCCAUGCCCAUUAUACGCUUCGUGUCAUGUCGGGUUGUGCCUAAUAUUUUUCUUAAGUCUGACCUAGCACACAUACCAUGCCCACACGUGCCGUGCUAUGGGCCAUGCUGUACCGUGCCUAAGAAAAAUUGCACAAUAAACUUUUUUCCUUUUUUUUUAAGAAGGCAUGCCAAGUUGUUGGCAUACUUUUCUCAAGCGUAUGUACUUUUGUGGGUUUAUGUGUCUUUAGUGAAAUUCAAUAGAACCAAAAAUUUAAACUCAAGUCCAUAUUCAAUAAUAAUAAACUAACAAUAGGAAGAGAAUGUAAUACUAAUUACUAAGUUAGACCUACGGUAUUAAAAUUUCUUUUUAAUACUUAACAACAAUAACAACAUCAGCAAUAAUAAAUUUUUCUUAAGGGUUAACUUAAUUAUUAACUUCAACUUACAUAGAGUUAUAAAUUAUAGUCCAUUAUAACAUUAAUACAUACUUAUAAAAUCAUGAUAUUUAUAAUUUUAUCUAUUAAAAUGAUGAUAUCAAUUAUUAAUUUAAUAAAUUAUAAACAUAAAUCAAGUAGAGUACUUUUUUAAAACUAAGAAUUAAAUGAAUUAAAAAAAAACUUGCCCUAAUAAAAUAUACUAAAAAGAUUCAAUUUCAAGUUAUUUGUAAAAUUAUAAAAAUUUAAGUUUACUUUCAUUAAAAAAAUGAAAUGUACUUAUUGUGAGCCUUUUCUCGUAGCGUGCUUUUAAGGCCCGCAUGCGUAAAAUUAUAAGCCCAACCCAGCUUGCGUGCAUGCCCUAUCGUGCUGCGUGCCCCACUGAAACGUGCUCAUGCCCUGCUGUUUUGUAUGGACAUGUGCUGUGCUCGUGCCGUGUCACGUGCUGCUCGGCUUGCUGGCCAUGUCUAAUCACACACUUCUAUGAUUUUAAAUUUCUGUUUUUUUUAUUAUGAGUUAUGCAACUUUAAAUUCAUGAGCCUUGAUUAGAAAUUUAAACAUAGAUCUUAUAAAUUUCCAAAAAUAUUUUUUUUGUGGAAGCAAUGGAAUAUUAAUUAUGUUGAUCGAUAUAUCAAUGAACUUAUCAUAGGUUACAAUAGAUUUUUAUCUAUGAAGCCAAAGGAAGAAUAUAAUUGAGAUAACAAAAGAAUUAGAAGUAAAUAUUUUCCUUCUAGUAAUACGCUAAUAGGAUAAAAAUGAUUAAUCUUCCAUAAAAUUCGCCUUAUACAUAAAGGUUUAGAGAAGAAUAAUAUUCCCAAGAAUACAAGAAAUAUUAUAUGUCAUAAAUAUUUAGUAGAAUGUAAUGAAAUACUAUGCAAAUGGCAUAUAUAAUGAAUAAAUUACCUCAGCCUUUAGUAACUUUACAAAACAUAGAAACCAAUAGGUUACCACCUUCUACCUACAGGCAGAGAUUUCAAUCUUUUGAUCUGAUCAAUUAUUAAAUAUGUGGGGAAAUAUUCAAUUAAAUUGGAUUUCACUGCAUUUAUUGAAUAA